UACGUAGGGGGCGAGCGUUGUCCGAAGUUACUGGGCGUAAAGAGCGCGUAGGCGGGUUUUUAAGUGAGGGGUGAAAUUCCGAGGCUCAACCUCGGAACUGCCUUUCAUACUGGAAACCUUGAGUGUGGGAGAGGCGAGUGGAAUGGCCGGUGUAGCGGUGAAAUGCGUAGAUAUCGGUCGGAACACCAAUGGCGAAGGCAGCUCGCUGGCCUAUAACUGACGCUGAGGCGCGAAAGCGUGGGGAGCAAACAGG
rnacentral:rRNA from 1 species